GGAAUCACUGGGCUUAAAGGGUGCGUAGGCGGACUCGCAAGUACGUUGUGAAAGCCCCUGGCUCAACCAGGGAAUUGCUUCGUAGACUGCGGGUCUUGAGCACGGUAGGGGCCGUCGGAACUCUAGGUGGAGCGGUGAAAUGCGUAGAUAUCUAGAGGAACGCCAAAGACGAAGGUAGGCGGCUGGGCCGGAGCUGACGCUGAGGCACGAAAGCGUGGGGAGCGAACAGGAUUAGAUACCCUGGUAGUCCACGCCGUAAACGAUGUGCACUAGAUCCCGGAGGCUCUGACGUCAUCGGGGUCGAAGCGAAAGUGUUAAGUGCACCGCCUGGGGAGUACGGUCGCAAGGCUAAAACUCAAAGGAAUUGACGGGGGCUCACACAAGCGGUGGAGCAUGUGGCUUAAUUCGAAGCAACGCGAAGAACCUUAUCCAGGGUUUGACAUGUAUGGAUUAACUCCUUGAAAGAGGAGCCACGCCCUUUGGGUGGAACAUACACAGGUGCUGCAUGGCUGUCGUCAGCUCGUGCUGUGAAGUGUCGGGUUAAGUCCCUUAACGAGCGAAACCCUUACCGUUAGUUGCCAGCGGGUCAUGCCGGGGACUCUAACGGGACUGCCGGUGUCAAACCGGAGGAAGGUGGGGAUGACGUCAAGUCCUCAUGGCCUUUAUGCCCUGGGCUGCACACGUGCUACAAUGCCGCGUACAGAGCGAAGCGAUGCCGCAAGGUGGAGCAAAUCGCAAAAAGCGCGGCCCAGUUCGGAUUGUGGUCUGCAACUCGACCACAUGAAGUCGGAA
rnacentral:rRNA from 1 species